rnacentral:tRNA from 1 species
UAUCUAUAGGUGUAAGAAGCACGAAAGUUUUUGAUACUUUAAGGUUUAGUUUAAUUCUAUAAUAGAUAA